rnacentral:rRNA from 1 species
CAAGUCGAGUGCGCGUCUGUAGCAAUACAGAUGGCGCACGGCGCACGGGUGCGUAACACGUGGGCAAUCUGCCCUUCGAUGGGGAAUAACUCCGGGAAACCGAAGCUAAUUCCGCAUAACAUUCCUUGGACUGCGGUUCGAGGACUCAAAGCCGUAAGGCGUCGAAGGAGGAGCCCGCGCCCGAUUAGCUAGUUGGUGGGGUAACGGCCCACCAAGGCAAUGAUCGGUAGCUGGUCUGAGAGGAUGGCCAGCCACACUGGAACUGAGACACGGUCCAGACUCCUACGGGAGGCAGCAGUGGGGAAUCUUGCACAAUGGGCGAAAGCCUGAUGCAGUGACGCCGCGUGGGGGAUGAAGCAUCUCGGUGUGUAAACCCCUUUCGACCCGGAAGAAUGCCUCGCAAGAGGACUGACGGUACGGGUAUAAGAAGCCCCGGCUAACUACGUGCCAGCAGCCGCGGUAAGACGUAGGGGGCCAGCGUUGUUCGGAAUUACUGGGUGUAAAGGGUUCGUAGGCGGUGCGGCAAGUUGGGAGUGAAAUCUCUGGGCUCAACCCAGAGGCUGCUUCCAAAACUGCCGUGCUUGAGUGUGGGAGAGGCGCGUGGAAUUGCAGGUGUAGCGGUGAAAUGCGUAGAUAUCUGCAGGAACACCCGUGGCGAAAGCGGCGCGCUGGACCACUACUGACGCUGAGGAACGAAAGCUAGGGGAGCAAACAGGAUUAGAUACCCUGGUAGUCCUAGCCCUAAACGAUCAGGACUUGGGGUGCCACCCGUUCGGGUGUCGUCCCGGAGCUAACGCGUUAAGUCCUGCACCUGGGGAGUACGGUCGCAAGACUGAAACUCAAAGGAAUUGACGGGGGCCC